rnacentral:lncRNA from 1 species
UAGAGGCAGAUUAUAUUCGAGAUAUGAGACUUGCAGUAGAAUAUGAUGUGAGUCUCCGUAUGCCAACACCAAGAAAGGCACAUUCAUUGCUACCACUUCCGCUUGAUACAAGUAGGAUCUUGGAUAGAUCAGAGUCAAUGACACGCCUUAUUGAUCCAAGACCAAAACUAAUUGCUACAACUCCUUUGGGUAGGACUCCUGCUCCAAAAAAGCCUAAAGCAAAGGAUCCUUACAAGAGGGAUAUGACUUAUGAAGAGAAGCAGAAGCUUAGCACUAACCUUCAAAGUUUGCCUUCAGAGAAGCUGGACAACAUUGUACAGAUUAUUAAAAGAAGGAAUUCAGCUGUCCUUCAACAUGACGAUGAAAUAGAAGUAGACAUUGACAGUGUGGAUACUGAGACUCUUUGGGAGCUGGAUAGAUUUGUUACCAACUACAAGAAAAGUUUGAGCAAAAGCAAGAGAAAGGCUGAACUUUCCAUUCAAGCCAGAGCAGAAGCUGUGCAGAUUGUACCUGAGAAAGUAAAGGUUUUCUUUUAUAUAUAUAUAUAUAUAAAAUCAUAGUUUCUUAUGAAAUAAUCUUUUCCUGAGGGUUGCUAAUUUCAUGCAUUUAUUGUAUUUAGUUGCAGACCAUGGCUCCUGUUUUGGUGGAAGUGCCCAAGGAAACCACAACUAGUAAGUUUUCACGUUAAGGAGUUAUAAGAUGUUUGCUACUUGCUGGUUGUAUUGGUAUAUAAAUGAUUAUAUAUAUACCUGCAGAUGAACAGAAUGUGUCCAGGUCACUUGUUGAAGAAAAACCGGGAGAUGCUGCUAGUAGGUCCAGUAGUUCAAGUAGCUCUAGCAGUGAUUCUGGAUCUUCUUCAAGUGGUAUGAUGAUUUAUUUCUUACUUGAUUUUAGUCGGAAUAAAUUGAGUUUUAUUGUUCUAACAUAUAUAAUUGUUUGUUGUAGACUCUGAUAGUGAAAGUUCCUCUGCCUCUGGAUCUGAUGCUGGACAUUCACCUAGAGCUUGAGUGUUUCCCAUUCAGGUAUGCUGAAAUGUCCCUGUAUCUUACAGGCAUUCAUGAUUUGAUUUCUUAAAGUUGCUCAGGUGUACAUGCUCAUUUUUAAAUUACCUCUUUAGCUGUAGAAUUGUUAACAGUUUUAUUUCUAUUGUGGUUCUUUCGAGUGAUGUGAUUGAUGUUUAGUGAUGAUGUAAAUGGUGGUGAAUAUUUUUGCCUGGUAGCAUCACUAUGUAGUGAGCGCACAUAACUUCUGUUAAAAUUUGGAUUUGUAAACAAUUGUGGGUCUUGACACCCUGAGUCGACUCUUCAAUGAGAUUUCAACUUGUAGGUCUCAGAUGCAAAUACUGAGAGGGGAGAGUGAGUUUCUGAGUUUAUUUAAGAGAGUUAACUCCCUUUCUAUUUGAAAUCAGUGGACUUCCACGUGUAAAGAAAAAGAAAAAAAUCUGCAGACCUUACCUGUCUUGGCGAAUUAACAUCCUUGUAAGUUGAAGAUGUAUAGUUUCAGCAUUUGAUGAUUGCAAACUAUAUAAUCCAAAUAUCAAACUGUUUAAGUUGAAAAGAAUGUUUUAUUUUUGACAAGGGGGAUAUCUAACUAUGUUGUGACUUUUGACUGUUUAUGCUGGUCUAGUUGCAUGUUGAACUCAGCCAUGAUGGAUCACAGUUAUUUAAGGAAAGAGUGCUGUCGUACUUGAAGUUCUUGGUUAUAAAUGUUUAUUCAUUCUGUGGCAACUCAUUAGACAAACCGUUAUCUGCGAUUUGGCUUGUAGAUGCCGGUCUAUUAAAGAUAAAACUUUAUAGCUGUUGUGGUUCUCUUCAAAUUAGUUAAUUUCUGGCUUUUGUUAAGACUAAAAGUUCUGACAGACCUGUGGUUGUGAUACAUUCUGAUUCUUUGGAGGAGAAUUAUAUAUCUGUCUUGACUUUCAGGUUGGUGUGUCCGUCGUAUGUCAUUUUGUUUAUUGUGCAGUACAAAAAUUGGUUGAAACAUGAAAGUAUUCUAGUUGUCCACUUUACCACGAAAUCAAUGAGAUUAAGCACCUAUUUCAGUAUACUGGAUUUAUUGGAGAAUAAAUCACUUAAAAUGUUCUUGAAUUCUGUCACUUCUACUAAAAUAAGUUUAUCUUUUGAUUUGCUACAAAACAAGCCCUUGUUUCAAUUGAAAGGUCAAUUUAUGUUAAGGGUUUAUUUAGAUAUACAAAAAGAUAAGGGAUUUGAAGGGUCUAUUGUAAUUGUAAUUGAGUAGGAGAGGUAUUUAAGUUAAAAAGAUGCACGAAACAUAUUGUACAUAUAACUAAACAUGUAUGUUAAGAUGUGAUUUAGCUGUUGUGCUACUGUAUCUGUUACGAUGAAGAUGGUGGUCAUAAACAUAUACUGCUACGGAUGUCACUCUCUCCUCUUUGAUUUUUACGCAUGCUUAAGUGGAUUUAAGAUGCUUCAUUAAGUGUCCUGGUGUGUUUUUCUGUAAUGUGAUACCGUAUUUGGUGAAAAGCUGAUUAUUUGGAGAAUGACAACAAUAUUGCAAAAAGGAUUUUCUCAACUUUUUACUGUUGCCAUUUGACAAUUUUCUACAGCCAUUAUUGAUACUAUGGUUGACAAGAUUAAAUUUCUUUAAAAUGGAUGGUAGUGUGUGGGGUGGCUGGUCUAAGAAUUUAGAGUAGGUGCUGAUCCAUUGUGAUCCUGAAGUUUUGCAGAUUGGCCUCUAUGAGUUUGAUGUAGCAUUUGGGUGUAUAGUGAAGACUUUUGGUACGUCGGACCUGACGGGCUCCCUCCAGGCUGUUGAGCCACCGCAGAGAUGCUGUUGUUGAAACUGGGAACAAGGCUUCAGCAGCACUGGACAAUAUGUGGAGUAUCUGUAUAAUUAUAAUUUGGAUGGGUUGAUUGUGGUGUUGAAUGGGUAGAGAUUAGGAAUAGGAGAAACUGGAAGCACGUGUGUACAUUUCUAAUUAAACAAGUACUACUCAACUCACUCUUGUUUCAGGGGACUUUGUUUUAGUGUCUUUAUUCUUUCUGAUGGUUCUUUGAUGUGAUGUUAUUAUACAGAAAGACAGAAACAGGGCAUUGUAAUUCAAAAGUAGUAAGCACUUCAAAUGAAAAAUAAUAAUUAUGAUUUGAUGUUGCCCUUAGGGAUUGUGCUAUUUCUGUUUUCUGUUUUCUGUUUUCUGUUUUCUGUUUUCUGUUUGGACAUGAUCUUAAGUUUAGCUAUUCUAGGAUUUAGGAUUAUUAUUGAUUCAAUUCUUUUCAAUUUGUUUUUCUUUUGUGAAUCUAUCAAAUAAAUCAAAUUGAUAUAUGUGAUUUAUUAAGUUGGAUUGGACUUUCGCUUCACACAAAAAGCUUAGGGGAAAAUUCAAUGUAGUUGGUAUCGUGCUAACCUAUGCAUAUCUUAACAAAGUAUUAGAAGCCAAAAAGCCAGCAUUAAAAGAACGAAGCUAUUGACUGGUGAUUUGGCUUUGGAAAGAGAUUUUGUAGGAAGCGUUAAUUAAAAGUUACCUACCAUAAUUAAACCAAUCAAAUAAUUUUUUUUUUACACUCAAUAUAAAGAGAACGUGUCAAAAGAAAAGAAAGUAGUCAUUGAGCACAUUAAUACUAAGCAGAUGUUAGUUGGUCAUUUGACUAAAGGUAUGUCACCACACAAAUUUAACGAUCAUAUUGUCACUAUAAGACUUGUUCCCAUCUUGUAAAUUUUCGUUAUAAUAACAAUUAUAAUUAAACUCGGUUAAGUUUGAUGUUUCUCAUAUUUUGUGUGCAUAUUAAUUUGAUUGUUUCAAGAAAUAUUACUAAAGUUUGGACCUAGAAUAAAUAUUGAGUUUAUUUAUUAAGAAAUUUGGAUUAAAGCGUUGAAACAUUAUAUAUUGUGAUACAUAGAAGAUACUACUCAAAUUCUAAAAAAAAGAUAUUGCCAUAAUUCGUGCAUUAUAUUUUGACUACUUUGUGGGCAAAACGAACCAAGGGGGAGAAUGUUGGAAAGGGGGAGAAUGUUGGAAAAGUUUUGGUUUGUGGGUUAUUCUCACUUUUGCUGCCCUCAACUCCCACUUUUGUUGCCCACUUCUUUGUUGUGUGGUAAUAAGUAGAUGUGUGAUAGUGGGAUUGUGGUUUUUUUUAUGGGGAACCACCACUAUAAAUAUCCCUAAGCAUAAGGUCCCAGAGCACCAAAAAACACUUUCUGAAAACAAUUCCAUCUAGUGAAGUUUUUGAUUGCUUAGAAGAUCGUCAUUUUUUUUUGUGUUUUCUAAAUUUCGUAUUUUCAUAUAGCUAAAUACGACGUCAUUGUCAGUUGUUUGACGCGCUUGACAAGUGGUGUUACAACGUCUGAAUUUUGAUAUUUGGUUCAGACAACGACUAGAGGCAUUUCUAUUUGAUUUUUCCAUUGCUUAAUUUUGUUUAAACUGUGAUUUGUGCUUGCAAUUAAGCCUAUUAGAGUUAUCAAGUAAAUAUGAUGUUUUUUAAAAGUAAUUAGGGAUUUAGGUUGUUUUUUUUUUAAAUUUAAGGAAAUAGGCUGAUUUUGGAAGACGUUGGUGACGCGUGGCGAAAACGCGUUAUUGGAUCCCCAAUGGUUAGAAAAUCAUGACUGUUGAUUUUCUAACUGUUGGGACCAACGACUAUUUAACCCAAUGGUCCUAUUUUUUUCCUAUAUAUAUAUCCUAUACAUUUUCAAUUUUUUUCAUUCAAUCCUAUUCAUCUAUUCUCUCAACUCUCUCGACUCUUUUAUUCUUAAUUUUCUAUCCUAAUCUCUCAAAUUUCUUUCAAAAUCUUCUUCUCUCAAUUUUAUAUCCUAGUCGUUUGUAAUCAUUUUAAAAAUUUUAAAAAUGUCAAUGCCACUAAUUCGUUUGAAUUAAAAAUUUUAAAAACGUCCAAUUACAAAUAGUAAGAAAAUACUAUUAUAAUUUUUUAUUUUAAUUAAUAUUAUUAUUAAGUUGUUAAUAUUGUUUUUUUUUUAUGUUUGUAUAAUCAUGACAAAGAUCGAAUUAUCAAAACAUGUAUACAUAAUUUAAGUGCGAGAACACCAUGUGUUAUUGAACAACACUUGGAACAAGCGAGAUUCUUGCAUAUGUCCCGUAUGCUCAGCGAGGUUAAUUUGGAGCUCGCACUUAUUAGUGUUUUGUUGGAAAGAUAGAGACCCGAGACACACACAUUCUAUCUUUCGUGUGGUGAGUGUACCAUUACACUCGAGGAUGUGACAUUACAACUCAAUUUAUCGGUUGAUGGGUCAAUCGUUAUGGGGGUAGUGCAUGUUGGUGAUUGGAGCACAAUAAAAAUUAUUAGGCAAUGAGCCAGACGAGUUUAGUGGUAAUUGGGUAGAUAUAAUGGUUAAAAGAUAAUUUCUCACAUCUUGACAACUCUUUUAGUGCAGUUGAAAGAAAAACAAUUCGCUCAAGCAUCCAUACUAAGGUUGACUGGGGCUUUUCUAAUGCCAAAUAAAUCUUGAAAUUUAGUACAUUUAAGGUGACUCCUAUAAGUAAUCGACUUAAAAGAAGUCGAACAACUCAGUUGGGGAUCAACCGUCUUAGCUACAUUGUACCUAGAGAUGUGUUGGAGAACUAAAGUACAUAAAACUAAAAAUCGGUAGUUGUAUACACCUUCAGUCAUGGACAUGAUACCAAUUGCUAUUUUUACGUCUCCGAGUAAACUUCUGUUAUCAAUUUUCACUCACAAUAAGGUAAGAUUCAUUUAAUAAUAUAGUUAUCAUAUUAAUUUUUUCAUUAUUACAUUUUUGGAAUAACAUAUUAUUUGAAUAGGUGGAAUAAUGACACGAGUCAUGUGUGUAUACCGGACGUGCUUAAAGAUAUCUAGUUAUUCUUAAAUCAACAGUCAAAAGCUUAGGUUAGUUUUUGAAUUUUCAAUUACAUAAUAAUUAUGCAAGGAUUUGAAAUUUAAUAUUAGGCAUGCAAUAAAAUUUAUAAUUUCGUAUUGCAGUUUGAAUGAAUGCCAUACUUUGAUCCGAGAAUUUAAGAAUAUAUCUCGACCGAAUUUUUGGUGAAUUGCGAUAUCUAGAUCAAUUUUUAAAACUAAAACAAAAAAAUAUUAUACAAAAAAAUAAAUACUCAUUAAUCAAAUUCAAACAACGACACUUACUUGAACUAAUUUACUUUGUUAGGUUAAUUUUUGAACUUCUGAUUUUUAACAUCAACAAUAUUCUCCUUAUGCAAAUCUUCUACUUGAAAUUUAACUAUGAAACCCUAUCCAUAUCAAUCUUUAUUUUAUAGAAAACUUUACCACUGAAUAUGAAACAUAUUUCAAAAUGUUGGAAAAGAUCAAAUAUAACAGGUCAAAAAAACUUUUUUCAAAAAAGUUUUUAACGAUUAUAUUCUUGUUCUGCCACGGAAAAAAUGAGAUGUAAAUUUUAUCUUGAGAUUCUUGAGUUUUUAUAAACUUUAUCUUGAGAUUUUCAGAUUUUCAGAAUUCAAUUUAACCAUUAAUUAUUAUUAUUAUUUUAUAAAAAAAGUUUUCGAAUGAUUUGAUAAGGAGAAAGGGUGAAAAAAAGUCACAUAUGACACGUUUUCACACACUCUCUUUAUCACGUCAUCCAAAAAAGCUUUCAACAAAAAAAACAUUUUUACCACCUAUCUCAAAAUUAAUCUAUUUCCUUAAUUUUGAAAGAAAAUGCCUUAAAACCCUGAUUUCUUUUUUAAAUUGGCAUAAACAGACAAUAUUCCCAACUACCAAAUAUCAUCGGAAUAACUGAAAAAAAAACAUCGGAAUAGAAUAUAAUUCCGACCAAUCAAACACUAUAGUAGUCUAGUGACUAGGCUUAUGAAACCCCUGACUAAACCACACGCUCCCUCUCUUGGGCGUGGAAAAAAUUUACCAAAACCCACAAUUAAAGCUCCCCCUCAUAAUCCAAACCUACGACCUCAACUUGAUGUUGCCAUCACCUCCCAAAAUUUCUAGCAUCAACAGGCGCCUGCAUAACACGCAAAACAAACAGGGCGUAGGUAAAACACUCUUCUCAUCCGUAUGAUUCUUCCCGAGCACGGCACUUUUGAUGCACCCACACGCUUCUUCCCAGUCGCUUAUAUCCACUAGGGCAUUCACCACCGUACACCUGUAAAGAUAAGAUACAGGUAAAAAAAGUUGAGAGGGAAAAAAGUCGAAAGCACUUUUUAGAGAGAGAAAGAGAGCGGCGUUGAGGGAGGAGGACUCGUGAGGAGAUCUGAAAUCGAACAAUCCAAGGUGAGGAGCUGUGAAAUCUGCCUUUCUUGUUUUAAUUUAUUUUGUCCGUGUUAUCUUUAAAUUCGGUUUUAGGGUUUUACAUAGAUGGUUGUAGUUGUAAUUUUGUAGAUCGAGGCUUGGGUUUUUCUUCUGUAGAUUUUUUGUGUUUCUUUGGAUUCGGUGGUUGAAACUUGGGGGAACUCUCAAGUUUGGGAGGUGAAAUUUAGGGUUUUUGGUGCAGAGGUCGUUGAACCCUAUUUCGGACUUGGUUGCGGGUACAGAGUUGUUUUGGUUGGAGACUGGACAAAAGGAAUUAGGGUUUAAAACCCUAAUAUAUGUGUAUGGCUUCGGGGAUAGUAGCUGGAGAAGGAAAAGAUGGUGAGAGAGAGAAACAGAGGUACAGUGAGAGCAAGGUUUAUACCAGAAAAGCGUUCAAGGGUUCCAAGAAAAACAAUCUUCUCAACUCCACUGUUAACAGUAGCAACCUCAACCACCACCACCAAGACACCACCACCACCACCUCCACCUCCACCACCAACAACAACCAUGACGACAACAACAACAACAACAACAACAACAACAACAACAACAACAAAAACGACAGCAACGUGGAUAGGGCUGCUGUGAACGACACUGAUGUCACCCCAGCGGCUGUCCCUAACACCAAUGACUACAGCAACCACCCUGUUGAAAGACCUGCUCAGCCUCUUCCUUUGGAGUUUGGGGGUUCAGCUCACCAACAGCCUGGUCCUCGCAUAGAUACUGCUGUGUCUGAUGACUGUUCAAACCUUAAUAAGCAGGCAGCUGUGGCUGGAGCAUUGAAGCCUAGUUCCGAGAACCAGGUGAAGAUCAAUUUGGCUUCAAGGUCAAAGCAGGAGAUGGGGGAACUGAGGAGGAAGUUGGUCAGUGAGCUUGAUUUGGUAAGGAGUUUGGUGAAGAGGAUUGAAGCUAAAGAAGCGCAAAUAAGGGGGUUUAGUAAUGCCCCUGUUCCUUUAAAUAAUGCCGUUGAUUAUGGUUUCAAUAGGGUUCAACCAGAGCCGGCCUCAGUGGGCAUUUCGAAUGAGCCUGUUAAGAAAUCAAGGCCUUUGAAUCAGUUGAAUAUUUCUGCCUUGGAAAAUAGUCAGGGUGCAAAUGAAAAUUUGGAGAAGGAGAAAAGGACGCCUAAGGCAAAUCAGUUUUAUCGUAAUUCUGAGUUUUUGCUUGCAAAAGAUAAGUUCCCACCAGCUGAGAGUAACAAGAAGUUGAAAUUAAAUGGGAAGAAGCAAGGAGGAGGUGAAUUCACACACGGAUUUGGCAUGGGUAAUAAGCUCUUUAAGAACUGUAGUUCUUUGCUUGAAAGACUAAUGAAGCACAAGCAUGGUUGGGUCUUUAAUUCUCCUGUUGACGUCAAAGGUCUUGGUUUGCAUGAUUACUAUAGUGUCAUUAAGCAUCCCAUGGAUUUGGGCACUGUGAAAACGAGGCUUGGUAAAAACUGGUACAAGUCACCAAGAGAGUUUGCAGAGGAUGUGAGAUUGACGUUUCGGAAUGCCAUGACAUAUAAUCCUAAGGGACAAGAUGUUCAUGUAAUGGCAGAGCAAUUAUCAAAGAUAUUUGAGGGCAAAUGGGCUUCUAUAGAGGCAGAUUAUAUUCGAGAUAUGAGACUUGCAGUAGAAUAUGAAGCAAGUCUUCGUCUGCCAACACCAAGAAAGGCACAUUCAAUGCUACCACCUCCCCUUGAUACAAGAAGAAUCUUGGAUAGAUCAGAGUCAAUGACACACCCUGUUGAUCCCAGACCAAAACUUAUUGCUACUACUCCUUUGGGUAGGACUCCUGCUCCAAAAAAGCCUAAAGCAAAGGAUCCUUACAAGAGGGAUAUGACUUAUGAAGAGAAGCAGAAGCUUAGCACUAACCUUCAAAGUUUGCCUUCAGAGAAGCUGGACAACAUUGUACAGAUUAUUAAAAGAAGGAAUUCAGCUGUCCUUCAACAUGACGAUGAAAUAGAAGUAGACAUUGACAGUGUGGAUACUGAGACUCUUUGGGAGCUGGAUAGAUUUGUUACCAACUACAAGAA